ACGUGGAACCUGGUUCUAGGGUGUCCACAAUCUCCACAGAGGCGGCAUUGGGUCACCGCUGGAGGAUGCAGCAGGAGGGAGGACCCGUGAGGAGCGCCCCCUGUAGGACCGGAACCCUGGAGGGUUCGCGGCAAGGGUCUCCGGGGCAUAGGAAACGGGCAUCCCCCAAGGGUAGUCUGAGUUCCGCCCAGCCCCAUUCCUGGAUGCUCACGCCGUCUCCCCUAAACUCCCACUGCGCUCACCGGGAGCCCAUCUCAUCAUCACCACAGCCCGUGGCUAAUGGGCCAAAACAGAAGAAGAAAAGCAACUGGCGGAGUACAACGCGCCUGCGCAUUAUCAGACUCAGGGACAGGCUGGAACCUCGCCCCGUAAGUAGGCCAUUUAAUGACGCGCAAACUGGGAAGGCCUAUGACUGUUGAAGAGGAUAAUCAGAAGCCAACCCCUACGGGUCCCCGGUAGCUCGCCGUGAUCGUAUAGUGGUUAGUACUCUGCGUUGUGGCCGCAGCAACCUCGGUUCGAAUCCGAGUCACGGCAUUGUGGGAACAAUGGCACGGCAAGGGGCUCGGUAUUUUUUUCCCCUUUUUUGUAACAUUUUAUAUAAAUCGUAAUUCACUUUCUUGAAA
ensembl:lncRNA novel transcript